ensembl:snRNA U6 U6 spliceosomal RNA
GGUCCUCACUGUGGCAGCAUAUUUACUAAAUAGAAUGAUACACAGAAGAUUAACAUGGUACCUGUGCAAAGAUGACACAUAAACUCAAUCCAUAUUAUUAUUUUUU